GAUGAGCAUGCGUCCCAUUAGCUAGUUGGUAAGGUAACGGCUUACCAAGGCUACGAUGGGUAGGGGUCCUGAGAGGGAGAUCCCCCACACUGGUACUGAGACACGGACCAGACUCCUACGGGAGGCAGCAGUGAGGAAUAUUGGUCAAUGGACGCAAGUCUGAACCAGCCAUGCCGCGUGCAGGAUGACGGUCCUAUGGAUUGUAAACUGCUUUUGUACAGGAAGAAACAACAUUACGUGUAAUGUCUUGACGGUACUGUAAGAAUAAGGAUCGGCUAACUCCGUGCCAGCAGCCGCGGUAAUACGGAGGAUCCAAGCGUUAUCCGGAAUCAUUGGGUUUAAAGGGUCCGUAGGCGGUUUAGUAAGUCAGUGGUGAAAGCCCAUCGCUCAACGGUGGAACGGCCAUUGAUACUGCUAGACUUGAAUUAUUAGGAAGUAACUAGAAUAUGUAGUGUAGCGGUGAAAUGCUUAGAGAUUACAUGGAAUACCAAUUGCGAAGGCAGGUUACUACUAAUGGAUUGACGCUGAUGGACGAAAGC
rnacentral:rRNA from 1 species